rnacentral:misc_RNA from 1 species
UGGGUUGGUCGGAUCCCUGCUUGUGCAGCGACGGUCACUCUUUCAUUCCUUUUCAUUCUUGCUCCAAGAGCGGUAUGCCUUGGACCAAAUCGGUUGCCUGUGUCGUAUACCUGCAUUGAUGGAAUUCUCUCGUCCAAUCGCCCCUACUUCACCUUGUGCUGCUCGUGCGGUGCGGGAUGAACCGUGAAGUGUCUCUUUGUUGUUCGUUAUUGCCUCGCGUUUGCGCGGCACAUGAAAUGACCAACGUUGCGACGCUCGAAUUCUCGGAUACAGAACCUUAAGCGGGCAAAGGGCUUUUGUCCUCGAUUUGCUCAAACUAUAAGCGUUCUCGCUUCUUACGAACGACUGUCGCGCCCGUUUUGACUAGAGGAUACUUUCGUUCCGACUGGCUCAUGCGGUGCCGACGUCGAAG